rnacentral:rRNA from 1 species
AUUUUAUGGAGAGUUUGAUCCUGGCUCAGGACGAACGCUGGCGGCGUGCUUAACACAUGCAAGUCGAACGAG